UACGAAGGGGACUAGCGUUGUUCGGAUUCAUUGGGCGUAAAGGGCGCGUAGGCGGCGGGGUAAGUCUGGUGUGAAAUCUCGGAGCUCAACUCCGAAAUUGCACUGGAUACUGCUCUGCUAGAGGGCUGGAGAGGAGAUCGGAAUUCACGGUGUAGCAGUGAAAUGCGUAGAUAUCGUGAGGAAGACCAGUGGCGAAGGCGGAUCUCUGGACAGCUCCUGACGCUGAGGCGCGAAGGCUAGGGGAGCAAACGGG
rnacentral:rRNA from 1 species